AUAGUACUCCCUCCAUCCGGAAUUACUUGUCAUCAAAAUGGAUGUGUCUAGAACUAAAAUACAUCUAGAUACAUCCAUUUCAAUGACAAGUAUUUCCGGACGGAGGGAGUAGUAG
rnacentral:pre_miRNA from 1 species